CACUUUGACUGAGUUUUUCUUUUUGUCUUUUUGCAGCUCCUCACCAACGUCUGGAACCUGUGACUCUGCCCGGGAUUGUCUCAUUUGUACUUAGUCUCUUGUGUGGAGCAUUGAAUUUAAUUCGUGGCUUUCAUGCCAUAGAAAGUCUUCUACAGAAUGAAGGUGAAGAUUUCAGCUAUGUUAUUGCAUUUUUUCUUGGAACAGCAGCCUGUUUGUACCAGUGUUACCUGUUCGUAUAUUACACAGGCUGGAGGAAUGCCAAAUCCUUCCUGACUUUUGGGUUAAUCUGCCUGUGUAACAUGUACCUGUAUGAACUGCGCAACCUGUGGCAGCUCUUCUUUCAUGUGACUGUGGGAGCGUUUUCGACGUUGCAGAUUCGACUGCGACGACCGCAGGGGAAGUCCCCAGAUUACAAUGUCUGACAAGUCCUGGAACAUUUAGAGGCAGUCUUGUUCCAACAGAUAUUCACUCUCAGGAAUGUAAAGCUGUUCUCCAAAAGAAGGAGCUGGCUGGAUGGCGCUUUUUGGUUUUGUUCCUUUUUUUUAAUAAAGCAAUGUAAGAUGCCUGCGGACAUUUUUCACUUGCUGGUUAAAAAAACUUUUCUUUUAAAGGAACAGCUGAGGACACAGAUGAAUACAGAACUAGAGGAGAGAAGUGGGUCAUAUCGUGUAGUAAAAUAUAUGUUGAUGGGAGACUCAUUUGGGGGAAUUUGGGGGCAUGAGAAAAGCUUUGCUCAAGUGUAUGUCAAUGGAAGGAACAUAUAGAGUAUGUGUCCUGCAUAUCAUGCAAGCUCUUCACUUCCAAAAUCAGUUUUGCCUUUGUGAGGCAGUAGAGAAUAGGCUAAGUUAAUGUUAAAAAUGCUGUUGCAUAUUAGCAAACUAGAUUUGGAAUAUGUAACCUACUAAAUUUUGGAAUGUUUUGUUACACGUUGACAUUCGCGUGAGUGUUUUCUUGAUUAAAACAUAACCUGGAAACUCUUUGUUUCUUGAGAUCAGCUCUUUGGCACCUGUGGCCCUCCAUCUAGUGCUAUAAACACUUGUAUGUUUUGUCACUGAUGGUUUCCUUUCGGUUAUCCUUGGAAAGUGGUCUGUGUGGACAGGGUUUUGUUUCAGGAAUGGUCUGAAGAGUUCUGCCACUUAACCCAGGACUUCAGUGCACUUCCUCUGAGCUGUGGAGAGGUUGAAAGGAAACGGACCAGUGGCAAACUGCCUGCCUGCUGACUGCCCAAUGCUGCUGCUUUCACUGCACUCCAGCUUCUUCCAUUGAAAAGCUCCUGACAGAAGAUCAAGAGAAUGGAACCUGAGUCAGCUAUUCAUAGUGCUGCUGUGAGGAUGUGUCAGCUGUCCCAGGACUACCAACUCAAGGUAAGUGUGUACAGCAU